rnacentral:rRNA from 1 species
AGAGUUUGAUCCUGGCUCAGAUUGAACGCUGGCGGUAUGCUUAACACAUGCAAGUCGAACGGAAACGAUACUAGCUUGCUAGUAGGCGUCGAGUGGCGGACGGGUGAGUAACGCGUAGGAAUCUGCCUGAUAGUGGGGGAUAGCCCGAAGAAAUUCGGAUUAAUACCGCAUAAUCUAUUCGUAGUAAAGUGGGGGACUUUUAAGCCUCACGCUAUCAGAUGAGCCUGCGUAAGAUUAGCUAGUUGGUAGGGUAAAAGCCUACCAAGGCAACGAUCUUUAGCUGGUCUGAGAGGAUGAUCAGCCACAUCGGGACUGAGACACGGCCCGAACUCCUACGGGAGGCAGCAGUGGGGAAUAUUGGACAAUGGGGGCAACCCUGAUCCAGCAAUACCGCGUGUGUGAAGAAGGCCUGAGGGUUGUAAAGCACUUUCAAUUGUGAAGAAAAGUUAACGGUUAAUAACCGUUAGCCUUGACGUUAACUUUAGAAGAAGCACCGGCUAACUCCGUGCCAGCAGCCGCGGUAAUACGGAGGGUGCAAGCGUUAAUCGGAAUUACUGGGCGUAAAGCGUGCGUAGGCGGUUUAUUAAGUCAGAUGUGAAAGCCCCGGGCUUAACCUGGGAACUGCAUUUGAAACUGGUCAACUAGAGUAUGGUAGAGGAAAGUGGAAUUUCUGGUGUAGCGGUGAAAUGCGUAGAUAUCAGAAGGAACAUCAAUGGCGAAGGCAGCUUUCUGGACCAAUACUGACGCUGAGGUACGAAAGCGUGGGUAGCAAACAGGAUUAGAUACCCUGGUAGUCCACGCCGUAAACGAUGAUAACUAGCCGUUGGGGGGAUUUACCCUUUAGUGGCGAAGCUAACGCGUUAAGUUAUCCGCCUGGGGAGUACGGCCGCAAGGUUAAAACUCAAAGGAAUUGACGGGGACCCGCACAAGCGGUGGAGCAUGUGGUUUAAUUCGAUGCAACGCGAAGAACCUUACCUGGUCUUGACAUCCUGCGAACUUUCUAGAAAUAGAUUGGUGCCUUCGGGAACGCAGUGACAGGUGCUGCAUGGCUGUCGUCAGCUCGUGUCGUGAGAUGUUGGGUUAAGUCCCGUAACGAGCGCAACCCCUAUCCUUAUUUGCCAUCGGGUUAUGCCGGGCACUUUAGGGGGACUGCCGGUGACAAGCCGGAGGAGGGUGGGGAUGACGUCAAGUCCUCAUGGCCUUUAUGACCAGGGCUACACACGUGUUACAAUGGGAGUUACAGAGGGAAGCUAAACCGCGAGGUCAUGCCAAUCCCAGAAAAACUUUCUCAGUUCGGAUCGCAGUCUGCAACUCGACUGCGUGAAGCUGGAAUCGCUAGUAAUCGCGGAUCAGCACGCCGCGGUGAAUACGUUCCCGGGCCUUGUACACACCGCCCGUCACACCAUGGAAGUUGGUUACACCUUAAGGCAAAGAUUAAAACCUUUGACUACGGUACGAUCGGCGACUGGGGUGAAGUCGUAACAAGGUAACC